GAUCGUCAAAGCCAAGGAUAAUUUUAUCCCUUUGUUAAUGAUUGGUAAUAAAUGGACAAAUGUCCAUGAUAAAUGGACCCAGUUCUGGACAGUGAGUGAGGGGAAGUUGAUCAUGGAAGCUCUGAGAUGUGAUUCAUAAAACUGCUUCAAGGCCGGACGCGGUGGCUCACACCUGUCAUCUCAGCACUAUGGGAGGCCGAGGUGGGUGGAUCACGAUGUCAGGAGAUCAAGACCACCUUGGCUAACAUGAUGAAACCCAGUCUCUACUAAAAAUAUAAAAAAUUAGCGGGGUUUGAUGGUGCACGCCUGUUAUCUCAGCUACUUGGGAGGCUGAGGCAGGAGAACAGCUUGAACCUGGGAGGUAGAGGUUGCAGUGAGCUGAGAUCGCACCACUGCACUCCAGUCUAGGCAACAGAGCAAGACUCUGCCUCAAAAAAAAAAAAAAAGAAAAACCUGCUUCAAACACCUUGCUCCAACUCAAAUAUAAAAAUGACAAUGAGGAUCAAGAAAAGAGAGGAAGAGCCAAUACUCAGUGACAUUUUGGCACACUGAAUUAGCCAACUUUAGCGUCUACUCUGUUUUCUGGGCUUCCCUUCAGAGUUUCUUUUUGUUUUCCAAUGGUAACGGGAGAGAAAAUAAGCUGUCAUUAUCGGAAUGAUCAAACACAGAGAGAAAAGAGGCAGAGGUGAGAAGAUGGAGAAGAUGAUUACAUUUGCUCUCAGCAAACCAAUGGAAAAGUCAAUUCGCAUGAUCUGAAAAGGAAAACGGGAAGCUAAUUGUUCUAUACCAGGCAGAAUUUAAGAAAUACAAUUCCUAAGGACUCCAGUGGAUACAGCUCUGGUUCCUGGACUUCAUGUUUUGGCUUGGUCUUUCUGCUUUUUCAGUUUUGUCACUGUUUCUCCAGUGCUGCUCAGCCUCCUAGUAGAAGAGAAAAAUGGUUGGGUUCAAGUUGUGUCAAAUAGAAAUGAUAAAAAAAUAGAGCAACAAGGGGCUUUGGGCUCUGGCAAGAGUGAUUGGAUUGAUGCAUCAUAGAAUCAAACUGGAGAAGGAAGAAAGGAAGAAGAUCAGUGGCCUAAAGGGCUCAGAAGGUUGGAGAAUGUAGAAGAAAUAGUUGAGUAAACAUUCUGGAAAGAUACCUUAACAGCUGAUUGGCUAAAGGAAAGGGAGACAAGAUACAGUGGAACGGUCUUUGGGGUUCAGAGCCUUAUGGAUGAGACAGAUUAUGGAAUCAUUCACAGGAUUAGAGUACUGGGGAGGAGAACUGGUUUUCAGGGCAUAAUGAUAAACUUCAUUUUGAACAAACUGAACAGGAGAGGAUAAUGAGACAUCUAAGUAGCAUGGAGGGCUGGAGUUCAGAAGAACCACAGGAUUCAAGAUAGACCUUUCAGAGUGAAGACCAGAAACAUUACCGGGGGUCAGGAUUCAGUGACACCUCCAAAGAAGAAAGUGAGAAGACUGAAAUGCAGUCUUUGAGGACCAUUUUAUUAAAGGAAAGGGUAUAACAAAGAACCUGUUAACACAGAAGAAAUGGAGUUCUCUGUCAUCCAAGACAAAGAGCUGCAUCUGAGUCAAGGUAAGCUGCUCUGAAUAGUGCUUCAUCCAAAAAUAUCUCCCCCUUUUUUCCCCAAUCAUCUUUAUUGUCUGGUUAUGCAAAUAAACCUUCUACCUCUUAAGCC
rnacentral:lncRNA from 1 species